GGCCUCCAAAGCUGUGCAACGCAUAUUGGGAGAGUACUGUAGCAAUCUAGAUACAAGAUCAACUGCCUCGUGAGGCAUCUGCUUGUCAAAAAGCUUGUGCCAGGGAUGACCCUUGACUUGAGGGAAGUUGUAUUCGGUGUGAUUCGGAUUCAUACACUUCAUCUCUUCUCGAGUUGGCGUACCCAAAAUCUUGAUGAUGACCACCAGCUGAUCAAUACCACUCUCCCCAGGAAACAGAGGCUGUCCUAAGAGCAACUCAGCUAAAACACAUCCAACUGACCACAUAUCUAUUGCAUUUGAAUACUCAAUAGCUCCAAAAAUGAGUUCAGGAGCCCUAUAGUACCGCGAGCAAAUGUAAGAAAUAUUAGGCUCGCCUGGUACUAAUUUCU
rnacentral:misc_RNA from 1 species